rnacentral:rRNA from 1 species
ACGCUCGACACCUACGGGAGGCAGCAGUAGGGAAUUUUCGUCAAUGGGGGGAACCCUGAACGAGCAAUGCCGCGUGAGUGAAGAAGGUCUUCGGAUCGUAAAGCUCUGUUGUAAGAGAAAAAGGGCGCAUAUAGGAAAUGAUAUGCGAUUGAUGGUAUCUUACCAGAAAGCCACGGCUAACUACGUGCAAGCAGCCGCGGUAAUCUGAGCGGGCUGGCAAGGC